CAUCCUCCAAGGCUAAAUACUCCUGACUGACCGAUAGUGAACCAGUACCGUGAGGGAAAGGCGAAAAGAACCCCGGCGAGGGGAGUGAAAAAGAACCUGAAACCGUGUACGUACAAGCAGUGGGAGCCCCACCACUAAGCCAGUGGUGAACUCCACAUACGCAUCCUUUGCUGAGGAUACGGUUAACGGAGCGAAAGCGACGUUCAACCGCAAAAGAAGCAGAGGGGGCUUAGUGGUGGGGUGACUGCGUACCUUUUGUAUAAUGGGUCAGCGACUUAUAUUCUGUAGCAAGGUUAACCGUAUAGGGGAGCCGUAGGGAAACCGAGUCUUAACCGGGCGUUAAGUUGCAGGGUAUAGACCCGAAACCCGGUGAUCUAGCCAUGGGCAGGUUGAAGGUUGGGUAACACUAACUGGAGGACCGAACCGACUAAUGUUGAAAAAUUAGCGGAUGACCUGUGGCUGGGGGUGAAAGGCCAAUCAAACCGGGAGAUAGCUGGUUCUCCCCGAAAGCUAUUUAGGUAGCGCCUCGUGAAUUCAUCUCCGGGGGUAGAGCACUGUUUCGGCUAGGGGGCCAUCCCGGCUUACCAACCCGAUGCAAACUGCGAAUACCGGAGAAUGUUAUCACGGGAGACACACGGCGGGUGCUAACGUCCGUCGUGAAGAGGGAAACAACCCAGACCGCCAGCUAAGGUCCCAAAGUCAUGGUUAAGUGGGAAACGAUGUGGGAAGGCCCAGACAGCCAGGAUGUUGGCUUAGAAGCAGCCAUCAUUUAAAGAAAGCGUAAUAGCUCACUGGUCGAGUCGGCCUGCGCGGAAGAUGUAACGGGGCUAAACCAUGCACCGAAGCUGCGGCAGCGACACUCAGGUGUUGUUGGGUAGGGGAGCGUUCUGUAAGCCUGUGAAGGUGUGUCGUGAGGCAUGCUGGAGGUAUCAGAAGUGCGAAUGCUGACAUAAGUAACGAUAAAGCGGGUGAAAAGCCCGCUCGCCGGAAGACCAAGGGUUCCUGUCCAACGUUAAUCGGGGCAGGGUGAGUCGACCCCUAAGGC
rnacentral:rRNA from 1 species